ACUUCAGAAGAUUACACAGGCUUCUGGCAGCCUUUUGAUGAAAUAAAGCACUCAAUGACUGAACCGUCCGAAUCUCCUGGCACUGCCAACAGCAGCAAGAAGAAAAAAGGAAUGAUGGGACGGCUCGGCUGUGGAGCCGGUUAUUGCAAGGAGUCAUUACGGGAACAAAAUUCAGGUUGGGGUGCAGUGAAACCGGAGAUGAGAGUCAGAUUGUCAAUUUAGAGCAGUGUUGAGUGUAGAAAGCAGAGUGCAAAUAGGAUUAGUCAUUCAGUGUCGGACUGGAGGAGGAGAACCAGCCGGAAUGGUGGCGUCUCCGUAGAUUCCCAGAUAAUCUCCAUCCUAAAGGAGAUCAGUUCACAUUGUUGAUGCCGCAGGAUUAUUUCUCAUGACACUAGAUUGAUGCCACCAUAUGGAGGUUAUAACACAAAUCAAGCGAGUUUUCCCACUGAUUGUUAGUAGACAAAGCUGCUUCUGUUGUACUGAUCAUGUUUAUCUCCAGGCUUUUGUUACCUGCUGGUCAAUUCCCACAGCAUCCAGGCCGUGGUACAUUAUGUUGACCCAGCCGUCCUUUGAGGCCAGUACAAACAGGGACAUGAGAGCCUGGAGGAGACACACAAAUGGACUGUGUAAGGAGGUAGAUAACAGACCUGGACACCAAGAAUGCCAAAGAUGAUGAAGAAGGCACAGCAGAUUAAGACGAUGUUGCCGAUGGGCUUGAGGGAUGUGAUGAGUGUCUCCACGACAAGCUUCAGUCCUGGUGCCCUGCUGAUCACCCUGGAGGGCAAAGAGAUAGGAAAGAUGAUAAAAAAUGGAAAGAGACUCUUCAAAAAUAAAUAAAACAGUUACCCUCCCAACCUGAGGGGGCGCAGCGUCCUGAGCAGCCUGAGAACACGGAGGACUCCCAGGAUUUUUGCUCCGCCCGCCAUGGACACCACGAUAUCAAUGAGGGACACGAAGACAAGGAAACCAUCCAGGAUGUUCCAGCUGCUCCUGAGGUAGGCUUUCUCCCCCAGGUAGAGACCCAUGGACACCACCUGAAGACAGAUUCUCAUAUUCUGUAAAUGGUUUCAAAGGAACGGCAACUGGGCACUGGGACAAGACAGUGGGGGAGGGGGGGGGGACAAAGGUGGGAAACAAGGGGAAACAUUUAAAUAAAAUGAAGUAUUCAAACACAGCAGCGGCAAUCUUUGAGACACUUUAGCUUCAUGGUGUCCCUGCAAUGAUCAACCCACAGAAUUAAAGCGCUGCAUGAGGGCUUAUCAAGCCCUUUAUGUGGAGGCUGCAUUUUGCCCGACUGUUUUGUGAUGGAGGGAAAAUUCUGUCAUUACAAAAGAACUCGAAAGAGGGUUUUACCAUCUUUAUCCCGCACAUUUGUGCUGACACUGCACUCUGCCAUAAAUCCUCUUAAAUCAAACACACUCUAAAGUCUCAAAGCUGUCUGACACAUCAGCUCCAUAGAGACGUCCAAGAGUGGAAGCGAGACUUCCUCAUUGCGCCCUGGUGGGGUACCAGUAAAUAUUUAACAUAAUCACACUUUUAUGGAGUUUGCAAUUAUCCUAGUAUAUUUUUCAGGGCUUUAGAGAGACUUUGGGAGUCAACCUGGAGGCUCUUAGAGGUCAGGGGAGACUAAUGAGAAAAGUUACUGGUUUUAGUGGGACAAAGAGGCUAAACUGGGAUCAAUCAAUCCAGGUAACACCAUUUAGACACUUUUGGCUGAGCAGAGGAGGAGGAGGGAGACGGGAACUUUAUGAAGAGACACGAUUGAGUGGCUGGAGAUUAAAAAUUGUGUGGAGACUGUGAGAUAGCAAUCGAAGGUCGGGGUGUCAGAGAAAAGCAACAAAGCUAAUGGAAUCAAAGCGUAGAGGAUGGAAGAAAAGCUGCAGAUGUUUCCACAUCAUCUGGGCUGUAGAGCAGGAGGCACGAUGACGUUGUGGAGUAUCUGACUCUUUCUUAAGAUCUAUUUGGAAUAAAAAAUCUCCACAGCUUCUUCGAUACUGAACUCCAAGACGGUCACCACAGCAACACAAAGAAAGUGAAAAAAGGGUUUAAAGGACGGGAGCUGGUGAUUGUUAGGGAAUCACUUAAAUAAUGUACAGGCUCAGAACCAGAAGGUGAGAAAGCAGAAUAAUAAAGGCCGUAAAAGGGUGGCAAAGCCGACACCAGUAUAGAGAAACAAAAGAAGCGUGUCCGGGUCCAAAACCCUCAGUGUAUUAAGACACAUCAUCGUUCCUGGCGUGGCACAGAUCUCAGCUCUGUCACAUUGGAUAUGACAGGCCUUUCGUCAUCUUUCA
rnacentral:lncRNA from 1 species